AAAAUAUUUUUAGGGCAAAUCAUUUCAGGCGCAUCGCCUCCGUCUCUAUUCUCUCUGAACUUGCCGUCUCUCUCUCCCUCUCCAUCUGCAACCACAAAAUCUACAAGAAUCAGAAGUUGAAAACCCAUAUAUUUCAGUUUUAUCUAUUUGUCUACAAGAAUCAAAAGUUAAAAACCCAUAUCAGCAUAUCAUUUCAGAUUGUUCAAAAAAUCAAAACCCAGAUCUGUCAGUUUCCAUCGCUCGCUGUUCCAGUUCGGGUUCGUCGUUCGCAAGCUUCAGCCGUUGUCUCUCAACUCUCAAGCUUGCCCCCCUCUUUCUAUGCAACUGCUAAGUUGUAUGUAUGGGUUUUGUUUCAGUUUUAUCUAUCUCUCAGUUUUAUCUAUCUCUCAUGCUUCAGCCACUUGUCUAUCAACUCUCAAACCCAUAUAUUUCAGUUUUAUCUAACUUGUAUGUAUGAGCGGCGGCGGCGGUGACGGCAGCAGAGCGGACGGCGGAGAGAGAAAGAAGAGAGAGAGGAGAGAGAUGGGUUUCGGGUUGGGUUCGGGUUGAGCUCGAGCCUAAUCCAAAUAUGUCUGAAUUUUGACAAAAUUCAACACAAAUAUGAACCCGAUUUGUGAAUCUAAAACUCAAAUUUUAAAUUUUCGGGUUAGACUGGAUCAUCCGCCCAAAUUGCAGCAGCCUAGGGCACGUUCCUAGAGAGUACACCCAUAAAUUAAUAAAUACGGACUAAUAAAUAAUAAUUAAAAAAAUUCCCAUAAUCUAAACAAUAAUCUUCCAUUUAACGAAUACGUGGUAUAUACAUAAACUGUGUAAGUGCGAGGAUAUAAAUUAUAAAGAGAGAGAGUGUCGAAGUCUUCUGCUUCUGUGAAGUUCCAAAAUGCUUGCUUCCCCUUCUGGGUGUAGAUUUCUGAAUCCAAGAAAUACUUUUUCAUUGAUCUAAGUUACUCUAAGCUCAAUAUAGAUAUGAAUGUUCUCUCAUCUGGGUUCUAUUCAUUGUUCAAGAAAAAUAACCCAUUACUCUGUUCUAAACCUUUUGUGACUCCAAAUUGCAAAUGCCCACACCAAUCCGAGCCCCAACACGGUUUUCCACACGCAGACUCUUCGAAAAAACGCUAUCAGACCUUCACAAGUGCACCAAUCUAAACCAUUUGAAGCAAGUUCACGCGUAUAUAUACAGAGCCAAUCUUCACGAUGACCCUUUCGUCGCGCCCAAACUCAUCGCCUCGUUCUCGCUGUGUCGCCAAAUGGUAUUAGCAGUUAACGUUUUCAAUCAAAUACAUGAACCCAAUGUUCAUUUGUAUAAUACUUUGAUCAGAGCUCAUGUGCAGAACUCUCAGCCCUCACAAGCUUUCGCGGCUUUCUUUCAAAUGCAAAAUUGUGGCGUUUACCCAGAUAAUUUUACACACUCAUUUCUUUUGAAGGCCUGUUCCGGUCAAUCUUCGUUGCGAAUUGUUCAAACAAUUCACACCCACGUAGAAAAAUAUGGGUUUUAUUCAGAUAUAUAUGUUCCCAAUGCGUUAAUCGAUAGCUAUUCAAGGUGUGGUCUGGAAGGCGUUAGUGCGGCGAGGAAGUUGUUUAUGGUGAUGGAGGAACGAGAUAUUGUUUCUUGGAAUUCAGUUAUUGGUGGGUUGGCGAAAGCGGGUGAUUUGAAAGAAGCUCUUAGGUUGUUCGAUGAAAUGCCGGAGAGAGAUUCAGUGAGUUGGAAUACGAUAUUGGAUGGGUAUGCGAAAGCUGGAGAGAUGGAUACUGCAUUUAAAUUGUUUGAGAAGAUGCCUGUCAGGAAUGUUGUGUCUUGGUCAACAAUGAUUUCGGGUUACAGCAAAGCCGUGGAGAUGGAGAUGGCAAGAAUGUUGUUUGAGAAGUUGCCUGUCAAGAAUUUAGUUCCUUGGACUAUAAUAAUAUCUGGGUAUGCUGAAAAGGGACUUGCAAAGGAGGCAAUUGGUUUCUAUGAUCGAAUGGAGGAAGCUGGAUUAAAGCCUGAUGAUGGGACUGUUAUUAGUAUAUUGGCUGCUUGUGCAGAGUCUGGUUUGCUUGGAUUGGGUAAGAGAGUUCAUACUUCUAUAGAGAGGAGCAGAUAUAAGUGUAGUACUCAUGUGUUGAAUGCUUUGAUUGAUAUGUAUGCAAAGUGUGGCAACUUGAACGGGGCAUUAAAUAUAUUUAAUGGGAUGGCAAAGAAAGAUCUGGUUUCCUGGAAUGCCAUGAUACAAGGGUUAGCCAUCCAUGGACAUGGCGAAAAGGCACUUUAUCUUUUUUCUAGAAUGAAGGAAGAAGGUUUUGCACCUGAUAAAGUGACCUUUGUAGGUAUCUUAUGUGCUUGUACUCAUGCCGGGUUUGUUAACAAGGGUCUGGAUUACUUCUAUACAAUGGAGAGAAAUUACGGGAUUGUUCCACAAAUUGAGCAUUAUGGUUGCAUGAUCGAUCUUUUAGGACGUGGGGGACGUCUUGAGGAAGCUUUUAGACUUGUGCAUAGCAUGCCAAUGGAACCAAAUGCCAUUAUUUGGAGUACUGUUUUAGCGGCCUGCCGAAUGCAUAAUGCUGUUGAACUUGCAGAGAAGGUGGUAGAUCGCCUGGUUAAAUUGGAACCGACAAAUGCAGGAAAUUUAUCUAUGUUGUCGAAUAUCUAUGCUGCAGCAGGGGAUUGGGGAAGUGUUUCUAAUGCAAGGCUGCGGAUGAAGAACACAGGCACCCAAAAGACUUCAGGAGCUAGUUCAAUUGAGAUGGAUGAUGAGAUUCACGAAUUCACUGUGUUGGAUAAAUCACACCCUAAAUCACAUAGGAUAUACAAGACGAUUGAUUUAUUGUGUGAGCAUCUUAAGCAAGUUGGUUAUAUUCCAGAGGCAUGCUCCUAAAAUUUAUUGCAAAUAACGAUGGAGGUGGGCAGGCUGCUAAAGAUGAUACUUAGCAGCAUGUCCACAAAAUGUCCUGUUCUGCAAGAGUGAGCUCAAUACUGUAUUUUCAUGGAUUAUGUUGGGUUCAUGCUUUCUUGUAGAUUCCUGGAAAUUUGAUUGAAUUUCAAGUGGAGUUUUGAAAAGGGUAUAUAAUUGUGAUUAGACCUUUGAGGUAAAUUUCUGCUUUUCUUAGUAAUUUAAAGCCUUUGAUUUUAUUUAUUAUUAUUAUUUUCAUUUAUGGGUUUGUGGAGUUCUAUGGUUCUCUUGCUUGAUUGUGCGGUUGAUUUUCUCUCUUGAUUCUAUUAUUGAUUUCCAAUAUGAUGGAUUAUCGGAAUUUGAUUUGAGUAAUUGUUUUAUGCAAUUUUGUUUAUGCAUAUAAAGAAAAGAAUUUAGUUGGCACUCUGCAUACAGGGUUUUUGAUGAUAGGGGUCUGAGGUUUAAUAGGUUAUUUAAUUGGAAUUUAUUUUUUCAUGAAAGUUGAUGCUACUCUAAUCUUAUUUUUGGUUUUUAGCAUUUCACAGGGUUUAUGUUAGGUUUUAACUAAAAGACGUAACAUCUAUCCUUCUUUUGUAAUCAUGAUGACAUCUCAUUAUCUUUGUUUUGUGCAAUCAAAUUGUUUAUGCAUAAAAUUGUAUGUGGAUUCAAUUAUCAUCAGAUAAAUUGAAUUGAUGAUGAUGAAUACAAUCACAUCUCUGUUUAGUGAUCUAACUUUAGUUCUUCCUUUGACAUUUGUUCACUGUGAUUCUGUGAAGGUAAUUCUUUUUCUGAUAAAUAACUGUGAAGGUAAAACUAGUAGAUCAGAGAAAGAAAAAAUAAAAAAAAAUUUUUUUUUUCGAAAGAUAUUGAUCUACUAUGUAAAUGUGUUGGUCCGGAUUACCUACUAGUGUACUAUGUAAUAACUAAAAACUAUUAAGUAAUAACUAAGAAAUUUGUGAUAAAUUUUUAGUGAAGAAUUCAACUUUUACAGUAUUAAUAUAUGCUGGAACUAUUUACUGAUGAUUACUAUGUAAAUGCUCAAUUCAUACAUUAUACACUUUUUGGAAAUGAUAUUAUUUGCUUGAUUUUCUUGAGCUUGUGGAAAGCAUGUUGUGCAAGAAAUUUUUUGACCGCGGUGUUUGAAAAUGAUAUUAUAAGCUUGAUAUUUAAGGAUUUAUAUUGACAGUCAAGAAACUGCCUCUUCAGUGAGUGCAUUUAAGUUCCCGUUCCUUUAUUGCAUAUAUAGAGACUGAAAGUGAUGUAUGUUUCAUUCACAAUAAGGUCAAUGAAUUGAGAUCUUUCUUGGGUUGGCAAAUUUAUUAUCGUCGUUUAAUUGAAAGUGAGCUCCUUGCAGAAUUUGGGUGCCAAAGGCAUUCUAAUGCCUCUCGUUCUUUGGGAUUGUUGAAAUUCUUCUUCUGCAGCUCUCAAAUAUUCAAUUACAGAUCUUGAGCUCCUUUUCUUCUCAAGGACUUGGUUAAACUAAAUUAAGUGGCUGCAUAUCAGGUCUCUAGCAGGAAUUUUGAGAGAUCAUUGUGGACUUAUCCGGUUCAUUAUUCUAGACUAGGGGACUUAAACAGAGCUAAACUUGGAGCUCUUCUCUUUGUCUCAGCGAAAGGGGGAGUGUGAAGAAGUAACUGCACAAGACGCACAUAUACCAAAAUUCAUAGGUCAGCUUGUGAGUUAGCUAUAGAGUUCUCGGUUAAUUUUGAAGCAGUUUUUGGUCCAUUGUUCACACUACCCCCAGAUGAGUUGAUGUCUUUUGUUUGACCCCAUGCACCAGUUCACCAGGUAAGUGAUGUUGCUGGCAGAGGCAAACUCCCGUGUCACCAUUUUCGUACUCUUCCUUGUUCCUAGGGCUUGGGUGGUUAAUACAUCAAACAGUUAUUCCUUUCUUGUUGCCCAUGGACUUCACUUUGGAAAUUCUUGUUUUCCUUGAUAGUAGUCAAUGAAAUUUAGAAUUUUGGGGGAGUUUGUUGUGAUUGAUGCACCAAUAUAGUUUUUAGCCAGCAAGGUCAGAUGUUUCUGUUUGAUGUUACAUUCUUUUCUUGAAGCUAUCCAUUUUUUCCUUUCUUGAAAUUUUCAUUGGUUAACUCUCUUUCUGAAAUAUUUGCUUCCUGUUGUUUUUCUUUCCUUUUUGGAAAACAAACAGCGCAGAAACACUGUCCUGGUUGCUAAUAGGGAUUAAUGCCGAAGCAGCAGAACCAAAACUAUGUUCAGAAAUCUGAUUUUUCCUAAACAACCUGAGAGCAACAUUUUUUUUUUUCUUUAAUUUCCACUCUUUUUUUUUUGGUCAUAUUUGCUUGUAAUGCAAAGGAUAUCAUUCACGUAGUUGAUGAAGAUUUUGUCACUACAAGGUUAUGGCUUGAAGAUUGAUCUAAAAUGCAUGGAGUGACUGUUAAAUACCUUAAUAUAUCAGCUAAUUCAUUGUAGUCCUUAUUCUUGCACUGCUGACAUUCUAUGCACAAGCUGUACUAAUAUAGUUUAGAGAGUUGAACUUUGUCGAAGAAGAAUUUUUGUUACAAAUACCAUUUUGUCCAUUUUAAGGAUGAGAUAUUUCCUAUAUAUAUAUAUAUAUAUAAUCUCUAGAUUGCUUUCCUUCAAUAUGCACGUAAGUACUAAUAUGGAAAGAUUCAGGUUCUACUUGCUCUUGAAGAUCUAGUAUAGUGAUUUUCAUCGAUGUUUCUUCCAGUAUCUAUGUUACCAUUGCAUGAAUUGAUUUUGGUAGUUCUGCUGAGUGCAUUUACAACAUUGAGGUUGCAAUUUUAUUAUAUUCUCAUACUGUUGUAAUCCAUUAUUUUAUAUGUUUCCAUAUCAGACCAGUAACAUUUAUUUAUUUAGUUAGCACCAGGAACUCACCUAGGCAGGGCCCCUUCGGGACCCACCCUAGGCUACAAACCUGGGGGUGUAGAGCCCCGCCCCAAGGAUACACCGGGUAAGUCGGAGAAAUUGGAAGGCUUGGUAGGAGUCGAACACUGGCCGAUUGGAUGCCAGCCCCGAGCCCCUACCAUCACUGCCAAGCCCCCGGGGGCACCAGUAACAUUUAUUGUUUUGAUUGCAGGAAUGGUAACUGAAAUACAAUCCAAAACAUAUAUUCCAGGAUACCAUUGCAUGAGGAAUCUCAAUGAUAGUGCAGGCAGUGAUUUUUGGGCUAUUUGUCAUGAAGAAAGAACCUUGAAGAAUGGCCAGAAUUACGACUUUCUCUUGACAAGGCCGUUCGUAGAUGGAUAUUUGGGGUGUGAAAAGGAACAAAUGAUGCAAAAUAUUUUGAAGCAUGAAUCAAUAUUUAGGCAUCAGGAAAAAAUAGAUGCGACACCAAUUCGUUCUGGGAGUUGUCCAUCUAUUGAAGUCUGCUACACCAUUUAAGUCCUUACAAGUAGAGCCUGGGAAGCCUUUAAAACUCCUACCUGAUAAGUGUAAGAUUGAAGCUCUGAGGAGGAGGAAAAUUUUUGGUGUAGAAAUUCCUGAAGGAAACCAUGAUCAAUGCACUGUGGCUUCACAUACUCCCUCUCUGAAACCAGUUAUUCCUCAGUCCGAUGUUGUGAUACCCCACAUUUCCACGUGUAGGCUGGCCAGGCCCACACCCGAAAACAUGGGAAUAUCAAAACAAUUUAGUAUUUAAACGAACACAGAAUACAAGAAGAAUAAAAAGAAUGAAUAAAUCGCUGAAUGAAAUUCUAUUAAAUCAUUUUAAACAAAAUAAAAGUAAUUAAUUUCAAUUAAUAAAUCCUUUAAAAUAUCGGGGUAUUACAGAUGUGGCCAACGGUGUGUCAUCCACUGUCUCACCAUGUCAAAGCCUCUCCAAGUAUCUUGAGUCAGUAUCUGAUAUCAGUUCAAGAAAACCCUUGUAUUAACAGCUCUAAUCUAUUCAAUAAGAGUUCUAAUACAUUGAUGCAAAUCCCAGAGUUUGUUGAAGUCAAGAUGCAUAUUGAUUCAAGAUCAACCUCGAGUUUAAGAGUUAAAGAAUCCUACCAAAAUGGUUUUUGUCUUGGUUCCCAGUCCGAUGCCAAUCAAUUACCCUGCUACUCACCUAUUGGAGUUGGUUCCCCAUGUGGCAUCAACGACAGUAUUUCAUGGACUGCACAAUCGGUACCACAUGGUCCUAUGAAAUACUUUGAGGGAUCAGACUCACUUCACUACAGGUUUCAGCACGGGGUGAUUCCUCAACAAAAUCCUGGAUCCAUUGAUGCGCGGAAGGGGGAGGCAGCAAAAGGACUUCCAAAGAGACAUACUGCCUGGUCUUGUUUCUUUGUCGAGGCAUGAGGUCACCAAAGAUCUUCAAACAAUUGAAGAUUUAUUUAGAGUCGGUAGUUGCACUUGGCACUCGAGUCUGUCCCAGAGAAACUUUCCCUAGUACCGUAGGCGGAUGAGCAAUUUGAGGUUACUGCUCCCUCUCUGGCAGUAACUGCAGUUAGUCCGCCACCAGUACAGGAACCUAUUUACACAGGACUGGGACUCGAGGGGAGAAGUUUAACAGGGUGGGGGAAGAGGACAACGUGUUUGCCAAGGAAGAAAUGUCCAGCUAUAAAAUGUUGAGACAGGACCUCGGCUUCAUUUUUAAUGCAGAAAUGAAGAACAGACAAGCUCAGCGGGGGAGUGGAGGGUCCAUUAUUGUGGCCUUGUUCGUUUAUGUUGGCCCCAAGUUCAGAAAAGGAUGGUAUGGAAGAUUGGGUGACCCUAGCCUUAUAUUUAGUUUUACAGGCGUGUCUAUAUACAUUUCUCUUAUUAACAGCAUCCAUUUCUUGUGGGGAGCUUGUAAUCGUCUUUGAAUAUUUUAAUUUUUACACUAUU